GCACAACGCGAAGAACCUUACCUGGACUUGACAUACCCUGAAUAGUGCAGAGAUGCAUGAAUCCCUUCGGGGCAGGGAUACAGGUGGUGCAUGGUUGUCGUCAGCUCGUGUCGUGAGAUGUUAGGUUAAGUCCUGCAACGAGCGCAACCCCUGUUGUUAGUUGCUAACAUUAAGUUGAGCACUCUAGCAAGACUGCCGCGGUUAACGCGGAGGAAGGUGGGGAUGACGUCAAAUCAUCAUGCCCCUUAUGUCCAGGGCAACACACGUGCUACAAUGGGCAGUACAGAGAGAAGCAAGACCGCGAGGUGGAGCAAACCUCAAAAACUGUCCCCAGUUCGGAUUGUAGGCUGAAACUCGCCUACAUGAAGUUGGAGUUGCUAGUAAUCGCGGAUCAGAAUGUCGCGGUGAAUACGUUCCGGGGUCUUGUACACACCG
rnacentral:rRNA from 1 species